rnacentral:rRNA from 1 species
AGAGAGUGCGAGCGUUAAUCGGAAUUACUGGGCGUAAAGCGCGCGGUAGGUGGAUAGUUAAGUUGGGAUGUGAAAGCCCUGGGCUUAACCUGGGAAUUGCAUCCGAUACUGGCUAUCUAGAGUAUGGUAGAGGGAAGUGGAAUUUCCGGUGUAGCGGUGAAAUGCGUAGAUAUCGGAAGGAACACCAGUGGCGAAGGCGGCUUCCUGGACCAAUACUGACACUGAGGUGCGAAAGCGUGGGGAGCAAACAGGAUUAGAGACCCUGGUAGUCCACGCUGUAAACGAUGAGAACUAGAUGUUGGGAGGGUUUACCUCUUAGUAUCGAAGCUAACGCGUUAAGUUCUCCGCCUGGGGAGUACGACCGCAAGGUUA